AGACCCGAAACCCGGUGAUCUAGCCAUGGGCAGGUUGAAGGUUGGGUAACACUAACUGGAGGACCGAACCGACUAAUGUUGAAAAAUUAGCGGAUGACCUGUGGCUGGGGGUGAAAGGCCAAUCAAACCGGGAGAUAGCUGGUUCUCCCCGAAAGCUAUUUAGGUAGCGCCUCGUGAAUUCAUCUCCGGGGGUAGAGCACUGUUUCGGCUAGGGGGCCAUCCCGGCUUACCAACCCGAUGCAAACUGCGAAUACCGGAGAAUGUUAUCACGGGAGACACACGGCGGGUGCUAACGUCCGUCGUGAAGAGGGAAACAACCCAGACCGCCAGCUAAGGUCCCAAAGUCAUGGUUAAGUGGGAAACGAUGUGGGAAGGCCCAGACAGCCAGGAUGUUGGCUUAGAAGCAGCCAUCAUUUAAAGAAAGCGUAAUAGCUCACUGGUCGAGUCGGCCUGCGCGGAAGAUGUAACGGGGCUAAACCAUGCACCGAAGCUGCGGCAGCGACACUGUGUGUUGUUGGGUAGGGGAGCGUUCUGUAAGCCUGUGAAGGUGUGUCGUGAGGCAUGCUGGAGGUAU
rnacentral:rRNA from 2 species